UUUUCCGUUGCUGCGUCAUCGACUCAUCUUUCUUUAGAUAGACGGACCAAAACCCUUUAGUCGUUUCUUCUUCCAAAAUAAACCGUUCCCCAAAUCAAGAUCACCAAAAGAUCGAAUCAAAAUCACCGGUAAAAUCAUAAUCUAUGCGAUACAUUUAUGCCCAAUCGAGGAAAAACAAACCAAAUUCUAAUUUCAAAUCAAACACACCACACUAUUCUUUCCCCACAAACUGGAUUGAAACCAACUUAAACAGAUAUAAUUUGGAUUUCAUCAUCACCUGUAACGUUUUCAAUCUCCGUAUACAAGGCGAGGAAUCCCGUGAUACUCCAUAUGAAGUUAACAACACUAUUCCGGUGGAAGGCUAUGAGUCCAUUGACUUCAUUCUUAUAAGAAUGUGUGGGUCCGAUGGUAACAACGGAUAUGGUCAACAUGUGGCGACUUAUCUUUGCUUGAUUGUGUUGGAAUUUUACUCAAAAGGGACAAAAAUUUCAUGAUUUGGAGAUGAGGGUUGUGCUUGAUACUAUUGCUGCUGCACAUGGUGGCUAGGCAAAGGCUGAAGCGAAGGCGUCUUCAGGAAAUGAGUCAGUUUAUCGAGAGAUAGUGUUAGGGCUGAUGAAGCACAUCAUCAUGGACAUACACGUUCAAGGGCAUGACUCAAGGAAUCAACAACUUCGAUUGAGUAUCACUGAAAUUCUUCUUUGUGUACAUAUUAAUCUACAAUACUUGGUGUCGGUAUUCACGUGAAUCUUAUAGUCACAUUUUCUGGACCUCAUGUGCCUCAGGAACGAUAGUCAAUAUUGAAAAAUAGGCAUAACUGUGCAUAUUAACUAUGCUAUAAUUGUGAAUAUUUUGGGCAUCUCAUUUGCCUGGGUAACUAUAAGGCAUGCGCAUCGCGUGUGCGUCUUUGCU